GUUCAAAAUUGAAAAUAACAUUUAGCUAUUCGUUUAAUGUUGAUAAUAAACCAGUGUUAACAUAAAGGACGUUCUCCAUGAACAGUAUUUCCCCAACAACAACAGUGAGGAGAACGGCCCUUUAUCUUGUCGCAGACCUCUUUACUGUCUGGAUUCAUGGACCUAUCUGCUCUGCACUCAGGCUCUUGCAGUACAUUGUUUUGGUUGAAGUGUAUGAAGAAAAUCCAGUUUUGUAUGGAGCUGAUAAAAGGAGAGGAGUAUUUUAAUAGCCUUUUCAGAUCAUUGUGGAUAUUCUUCUUUGACACUGCAUUGACCUACCACAAGGGGUAACUCCCUGAAGGCUGGAUGCAGUGUGAAGUCUGAACCCUUCCCGGGGAGCCUUCCUGCCGUGCUGCCCAGGGCUCUCGCACCUGCAUGGAGAAGGCCUUUUGCCCAGUCACGAUUCUGUGACCCGCUCUGCUCACUUGGAAAAUAUUGAUUUGCAUAGAUCUUCCAAAUGUCAACAAUAUCGAGAAAACAAGCAUUAAUAUCAUCCCUGAUCUCAUCAGAGAGGUCUUCAGUUUUUGAAGCUGUCAAGCUCUGGAUGGCUGUUGGAAGUUUUUCCAAAAUUUUAGUUUUGCUUAAGAGCUCACAUUUUAUCUUUGACAACAUUGAUAAAUUUCCUUGCAGUGACAGGUUCACUUUAUUCAGUUUUGAGAAAAUGUCUCGGUCUGAAUAGCUUGAGUUAGUCAUUCUUUCAGGGGAACGUGGGGGUUGAAUGGAGAGGUGCCCAGUUCCCCUCCUAGGUCAAGCAGCUCCACCAUGUGCAUGUCCGCUUUUUGUGCCGGGAGCACCUGGUGCUCAGGAGUGACCGCCUGCCGCAGCCGCCCUGGUUGGUGCCAAGGUCACGGUCGUCCCAGGCCCUGGCUUUGCUGCCAUCCGUCUGGUCUCAGCCCUGGGAAGAAGGCAGGUCACUCCUGAGUGACAGCUGUGUUGUCGUGAAGAUCAUUUUGACCCUGAGGACUCGGGGGGUCUGCGGACCACACUUGAGAGCCGCUGUGCUGCGCAGCUGGGUCAGCAUGGCCAAGUGUUGGACCGCAGCCGGGCCUGCUGGGCAGCGCGUGGGGGGUCCUGGAACCUCGCAGAAGUCCGCCGUCCACAGCGAGCCUGCUGCAGCCGGGCUUUCGCCUGAAUUCCACUCCUUAUGAUGCCUUCACCGAGGAAGCUGUGUGCCGUGUCCUGAGUGUGAGAGUGGGGGUGAUUGGUGGUCUCAGUCCCCACCACCCCCGCCCCCAGUAAGACACACGGUGCUCUGUGGCUCCCGGCUCCUCACCCUUUAUCUGCUUUCAUGUAGGAAACACGUACCUGUUUGAACUUAACGUAAAUAGUGAUGCAGGAAAGAGAACAGAAAUGUUAAAGUCUCAGGAAAAGUGAACGUUUCACUGAAGGCUGUUGGCACUUUGGUUUACUGUGUCCUCCAGGUCGUUUAGGCCAGCUGGGCUUGAAGGAAGGCUUCCCGUCCGCCGUGAAGAAUAUUAGCUCCGUCAUUGGUAUGUUCAUCCAGCAUGCGCAGGACGAAGAUAUCCCGUGGGGCAUCCAGCUGGCCGCCGUGUACGCGCUCUGUGAUUUGAGUCCCAGCAAUCCAGCGGAAAUAUCCAAGAUCCUGGAGGCCUGGCGCCAAGAAACCGCGCACAGCGUGCCUUCCGCGGUGCUCAGCUGCCUGGAGGAGGUCAGCUCGCUGUGCGCGGAGGAGGUCGGCUAAGCUGCCCCGCGCCGCUGCGUCUAGAGAAGUGCCUUUACAUAUCUCAAGUAUGAAUAGAUGAGUCAGCUUGGCGGAGCACAAACUGAGUUUCAAAAGGAAAGCCGGAGAAGAGAGAGAAUGCCCAGAGGCUCUGGUCACCGUGGCGAGGAGACAGAAGCCAGCCAUGGCAGGGCUGCCUUUCCCCAAACCGCAUACAUUUCACUUAAGGCUGUUGUGAUUCCAUGACAUGUGGGUUGUAUUAUUGUGUCUUGGUCAAACAACAAAAACUUGAACUUAGCCCUUUUUUGCUGCAGAAAGUGUCCUUUUAGUCGCUUUUUAAAAUUGAGUGGCAUUUUAUAAUGAAUUUAAUAUAAAAGCAUUGAUUUGGUUCCUGAGCUAAUUUUGGACUUUGCGCUGAAAUGAUCGACUAGGGAAAAAUAAAUCGGCUAAGAAAGAGCUAGAAGACUCUUCCACUGUCUUAGCUGGAAAUGGGCUACAAAAUUGUUUCUCAAGGUAGAGUGCGCAACUGGUCAGAGGAGAACCUGGGAGAGCCUUAGAGACCCGCUCUAGUGCAUCUUCUUCCUGUCUCUGCAGGUCCUUAAAACUGUCACUGUAUCAGGACAAGGAGGGCUGAAGAGUAGAAGUUCACUUGCAGGGUUUCUGUCAGCGACGUGUAUAUAGACGAUUCAGAGACGCGUGCAGGCAGGUCUCUGUGCGUGCCGUGUAUAUAUGGACCGUGCUAUAAUGUGUUUCACAUUUGAUGAUAUUCCACUUUCGGAAUUUUAGUAUUUGUACAUAGAAAAUGGGUUUAAUAACUCACCGUGGUUCUGAUUUGUCAUAUAUUCAUCAUUUCUUAAAACUCUUGUAUGUGUUUUUUAUAAUAAAAAAUAAAAGUAAGCCAUGCACACGAUUGUUCUGAUCAGUGAAGAGUGACACUGGGUAUUACAUCUACUCUUACCAAAGAUGGAAAAUUCUCCACUCUAACCAAAGAUAAAAUGGCCAUCCCAAAUGAUAGAAAUAUGCUACAUUGCCAUUGUCCGGCAGGUUUCUCCAAGAUGCUCUUAGCGACAUUGGACACCAUAUAAUUACGUACUGAUUAGCCCUCAUGAUUGGAUUUGUUUACUUACAAAUAUUGCUGCCCUUUAAAAAAUUAUAUCUGAUGACUAUUUUGUUACUCCUGCCUCGUAUUUUUAAAGUAAUUAUAACAGACAUAAUUGGUUUUUAUAAAUAACUCUGCAUUGCCCUUUGGAA